rnacentral:rRNA from 1 species
AAUGGGUCAGCGACUUAUAUUCUGUAGCAAGGUUAACCGAAUAGGGGAGCCGAAGGGAAACCGAGUCUUAACUGGGCGUUAAGUUGCAGGGUAUAGACCCGAAACCCGGUGAUCUAGCCAUGGGCAGGUUGAAGGUUGGGUAACACUAACUGGAGGACCGAACCGACUAAUGUUGAAAAAUUAGCGGAUGACUUGUGGCUGGGGGUGAAAGGCCAAUCAAACCGGGAGAUAGCUGGUUCUCCCCGAAAGCUAUUUAGGUAGCGCCUCGUGAAUUCAUCUCCGGGGGUAGAGCACUGUUUCGGCAAGGGGGUCAUCCCGACUUACCAACCCGAUGCAAACUGCGAAUACCGGAGAAUGUUAUCACGGGAGACACACGGCGGGUGCUAACGUCCGUCGUGAAGAGGGAAACAACCCAGACCGCCAGCUAAGGUCCCAAAGUCAUGGUUAAGUGGGAAACGAUGUGGGAAGGCCCAGACAGCCAGGAUGUUGGCUUAGAAGCAGCCAUCAUUUAAAGAAAGCGUAAUAGCUCACUGGUCGAGUCGGCCUGCGCGGAAGAUGUAACGGGGCUAAACCAUGCACCGAAGCUGCGGCAGCGACACUAUGUGUUGUUGGGUAGGGGAGCGUUCUGUAAGCCUGUGAAGGUGUACUGUGAGGUAUGCUGGAGGUAUCAGAAGUGCGAAUGCUGACAUAAGUAACGAUAAAGCGGGUGAAAAGCCCGCUCGCCGGAAGACCAAGGGUUCCUGUCCAACGUUAAUCGGGGCAGGGUGAGUCGACCCCUAAGGCGAGGCCGAAAGGCGUAGUCGAUGGGAAACAG